rnacentral:rRNA from 1 species
ACGGAAGGCAGCAGUGGGGAAUAUUGGACAAUGGGGGAAACCCUGAUCCAGCGACGCCGCGUGAGUGAAGAAGUAUUUCGGUAUGUAAAGCUCUAUCAGCAGGGAAGAUGAUGACGGUACCUGACUAAGAAGCCCCGGCUAACUACGUGCCAGCAGCCGCGGUAAUACGUAGGGGGCAAGCGUUAUCCGGAUUUACUGGGUGUAAAGGGAGCGUAGGCGGCCAGACAAGUCAGAUGUGAAAACCCUGGGCUUAACCCGGGACCUGCAUUUGAAACUGUAGGGCUAGAGUACUGGAGAGGCAAGUGGAAUUCCUAGUGUAGCGGUGAAAUGCGUAGAUAUUAGGAAGAACACCAGUGGCGAAGGCGACUUGCUGGACAGAGACUGACGCUGAGGCUCGAAAGCGUGGGGAGCAAACAGGAUUAGAUACCCUGGUA